CACAGGGGAGGGGUCCGGGCUAAACGGGGGGCGGGGCCCGCGGGUCGAUGCCCCACCCCCCGUCACAGCCUGACCGCCGGGGGAAAAGCCUCUGGGCGGAGGAGGUGCUUUCAAAACAAAGAAAUGCGGCGUGGAACCCGGGAGGCUGGGGUGGUGAGGAAGGCAGAGGAGGUGCGGCUGAGGCCGUCCGGCCACCCGCUUCCCCUCCAGUCAGCCCGGAGGAGCUCCCCCCACCCCCAGCCCGAGCUGCGGUGCCGGAGAAGAGGGAGGAGGCUGCGUUAGGCGGCUGUUUUCCAGUUCACUUUUGCAGACCAAGGCGGAGAAGAAGAGCACCAGCUACGCUGCCCCUCUUGGCUGCGGCGCAUUCAGCCCCGAGCCCCGCGUGUGCUCUGUCUCGGAUACCGAGCCGGCCAAAGUGUCCGGAAACGCGCAGAGCGCUCGGAACCUGUCCCGCAGCUGUGCGACGCGCGUCUCGAGCUGGCCGCUGCCGCCCCGCCCUCGCGCUCCUUCAGCCCCGCGGGCUGAGAAGCCGGCCCGCCCGCCGGCGUGGAGCUGGGGAACUUGAACUGGCCCCAGCGGCCGCUCUGCCGAGAUCCCGCUUCAGGCCCGGGGGUGUUCCGGCUCGGGGUAGAGGGCACACCCGGGAAGUGGAUUUAGCAAACACCUUUGUUAUUGGCUGAUACCCACCUGCCCGCCUCGUUGCCUGGAUUUAAAGGGAUAAGAGCGCUCCCGAGUUUUAAAGAAAAUCGCCCACUCAGGGCCGCGGCCCCGAAGACCUCGAACUCCAGGUCUUGGCUCUUCAGGCCUCACCGAGCCCCAGGCUGCAGGUCCCCAGGGGACCUGAUGCUGGCAGACUUUCCAUAGCUGCCUUACUAGUUAGGAAAAUGUUGGUGACAUUAUGUUUUUGUAUAUCCAUCUGGUAUUUUUCUGGGCACCUCCUCAAUGCUUAGGAAAAGGCCUGGGUAGAAAACUGGAAGACUAUCUUUAUGGGCAAAAGCGAGAGGGAAGAUUUUUCCUCCAGUUCUAUUUCGGGGUUUCUUAAAAAAUAAAAAUUUUUAAAUUUUAAAAAAAUAUAGGUGAUAGGAGAAGAAAGUCAAAAAGUAAAAUUUGGGUUCCAUUCCGUCUUCAAACACAGUCAUGAUAGGACUUAGGCUUGUGUAAUGUGUAGCUUACAAAAGAAUUUUCAUACAGGUACAGACAGAAUCGCUGAACUGGAAAGUUAAAGAUGACAAAACUCAGACCCCCAGACAGGGUAAGUGACUCAUUCAGGGUCCUACGUGGUGUUAGUGGAAGAAGUUAAUUCAUACUGAACAGGAAAGUAGACACCUUUGGAGGUGCCUAAUGUUUAGAGAUCUUGAUUUUGUGUUGAACCAAAGAGACUGGAUUUAAGGCAUCAUCCUACACUGGAGGGAUUUCAUUAAACUCUCUGUUCAAAGAUGAAUCUAGAGCCUCCACCUCAGCCUAACCCCAUUUUCCCUCUCUUCAGUCUCUUACACUGAGACCACACCCUCCCUCUUGAACUGUCCUCCUCUCUGGUUUCCCUGACACUCUCCUGUCCCUUCAGUGUCUCCAACUCAUGUUUCUUUGCCUUACUAUGGGGUUUCUCUUCCUCCCAACUGUUUAAGGUACACCCUGCCCUAUAGACUAUGAGGGUCCUCUUCUCCAUUUUUAGUGGCCCACCCCUUGGAGAGUUACCACUGUUCCCAACUCCCAACCAUGGUCUCUGCUUCAGCUCACUCAUUUCUUCCUGGUGGCCAGCUCCCUUUUCCACUGCCACCUCAAACCCAAAGUACCACAUUUCCCUGGAAACCAGACUCUCUUCCUUCCCCUAGAUUGUUAUUACUGUUGCCACCUGUUCAUAGGCCCCCAAGAUUUUUUCCUCUUUGCCUUUGCCUGCAACUCCCAUAUAGGUUUACUUGCUGCAUUAUCUAUCCCAGCCCCUCUCGCUCAGUCAAUUAUUCCUCCUCUUCACUCUGCACAGCCUCCUCACUGGUGUGUCUGUAUAACCUUUCCUCCUGCAAAUCCUCCUCCACCCAGCUGCUGUGCUUCCUAAAGUAUAAUUCUGAUGGUGUCACCCUCCUGCUCAAGUCCCUUUAAAUGACUCCCUGCCACCUACUAGGAAAAGUCCAAAUUCAGAUAUGAUCUUGACCAAACGCAACUUUCCAGCCUAAUCUUCCACUAAAAUGUAGCAGACCUUCCAGUUCCCCAACAGGAAUUUUGUUAGGUCCCAUCAGGACCUCUCCCAGCUCCCCAGAUGUCAUCCCAACUUUCCCACUCUGCACAUUUGCUCCAGAUGUUCCUGUGGCCUGUAAGAGAGACAUUGUCUCUUCCCUUGUAACUUGUCAAAUUCCUACCCUUCCUUCCAGGACUGGCUUAAAUGCCUCUUCCUCUGGGAAAAGCCACCUGGAUGUGUGAUCUCUCUCUCCUGGAGCCACUGUAACGCUUUGGAUCUUUCUUGUUACAUUUAUACCGUUCUGCCGAGUGUCACAGCUAUGUUUACACCUGCUCAAGCCAUUCAUCUUGUCUCUCUUCCCUGGUUAGAAAUUCUCUGAGGGUUGAGAUUAUGCCUCAGCCAUCUCUGUAGUCCCAGGUGCCCAGCACUGCACUGCAAGCCUUCUGUCUCCCCAGAGGUCAGCUACCCUCAUGAGUCAAGGAAGAAGUGACAGUAUGUCAUCUUUGGCUGGUACUGUGCCACUCUCAUUUUUGAGGUAUUUACAGUGUUUUUUUUUUUCUGGUGUUCAUAGAAAUCGUUACUAUAUUACUUAUAAUUGCCCUUUUCAAACAAGCCUCUACUGUAGGGACCACAUAAGGGCUAGAGGCCUCUGGUUAUGCUUCAAUGUUUACCAUUAGGCAAUGGUAGGAAAUGAAAGUACAAAAAGUCUACAGCUUCCCAAAUGCAGUGACUCAUCAUAUCAAAUCACACCACACCACAUCGGCCAGUGUGGUCAGGAGCUAGGCUCUUAGGCAGACUUCAUAAACAGGACUCCCAGUAGCUAAACUGAUAGCCACAAGGAAGAGAGACACCCUCUCCCCCAGCACCUUACCAAUCACCUGGCCUGUUGCAGUUGGAUGCAUCAAUAGAUGGAUAGAUAAGGAAUUUAUUUGAAAGGAGCAGUGGAGUCCUGUCUAGACAUCUGUCAUGGCAUCUCUACCUGUCUUUAAGAAUGAAAAUUUGAAUUAAAUUCAAUAGAGAUGUAUCAAAUUCCUGGAGCAGUGGUUUUCAAAGAGAGAUCCUUAGAGUGCCCCAGAACCCUGCACACAAUUUUCGAGCUGGGAACCAGAAACUGACACUCACUUACUCCCCAUGUGAGUCUUCUUUACAGUCAAGUUUGAAAACUACCCUUUGGUGGCAAGAACUUCACGCAGCCCUAGCACUUAGGAGGCCUGCAGAAGAAAAAAAUGGCUUUGCCUGAUCAUUAUUGCCAGUCAUCUCAGCUAAUUAAAAGAAUAAUUUUCCAUUAAUAGGAAGAUUCCAAGAUGUGAGAAUUAGAUUAGAUCUAAGGAACUUUAAGUCAUUUGAAGAUGGACACAAAGUUAUUCCCACUUCCAUGCUUUUAUAUUGGGGUAUACUUUUUAUAUUAUAACCAAAGCCAAUUAUGUUCCCUGGGAUAUAAUUAAAUUAUUUAGAGAGAAAAAAAAGCCUAAAACAGCAUAGUUAGCCUAUGAAUCAGGCUUAUUCUCCCCUUCAGUGGAAUGACAGAGAAUUCUAUGUGCCAAAAAAAGAGUAAAGAAUGAGAUAUUAGAGAUAUUAGAGAUGACACUUAUCAGGACAAAAUGUCCAAUAACAGGGGAAAGUGCCAAAAGAAUCUCCCUGGUCAGUCAUUUCCACCAACUAGAUCCUUGGGCAAAAUAAGAAGUGGGCAUUAAAACCAUUGCUCUAUCUUUGAAGAGGAGAAAAAUUUGAUCCAUUUCAACUUUGUUAAAUUCCAGAAAAUGAAACUACUGAUAUUUCACUAUUAUCAUUGUUUAGAGAGUGGGUGCAGAUGCAGUGCUAGGUCUUUUAUAAACAGUAACUCAUUUGGUCCCCAGUCCCCCUUAGCACCCCUCCCCGCUCUGCCCUGGCACAAGAAAUGAAUGAAGGAACUGAGGCUCAGAGAAAUUCAUCAAAGGUUAUUCAGCUCUGCUCUGGCCUAGCAGGUAUUCAAGUUCAGGCUGUCUGAUGAUAAAGCCAGAACUUUUCCCAUUAUCCAGUAUUUCCCAAACUUGCCCAGAUUAUAAGAAUAGCCCUGUGUACUUGUUUAAAAUUUAGAUUUCCUUUACCUCUCCCCUGGAGAGGGCUGGGGUGGGACCUGGAAUCUGUGUUUUUGUUGUUGUUGUUGUUUUAAUAUAUGCCCUGGAUAAUUCUUUAGAAAAGACAAGUUGGGAAACAUCAUAAUUCAUAAUUCAGUGGCCACAUUAUCACUUACCCACAGGUUUUCUAGAAUUUUCUAUAAGAAAGUGUAUUCAACAACUGAUCAACCAACCAAUCUUUUCCAUCCUAUUUCUAAGAGCAGUGUAUUCUGUUAAGACAAAAGUCUUUUAAAGUUACAAUCCGGGUUUUUGAAAAAUAAAUCAUUACAUCUCAACAUAUACAAAAAAAUCAGGUUGGCAAUUUUCUUAUAAAUUAAUUUGCUUCAAAUUUUGUAAUUUGGACAAUAAUUCCCCCCUCUAGACGUAAAAAGUGUUUGCUUUUGUUAAAUAUUAGAUAAUCUACUCUUGUUAAUUUUUAGCAAAAAUAUUUUAGUGUAAAUAUAGUCUAUUCGUUCCAAUCCAAAGUGCAGUGGAGAAUAUCGCAUCAAAUGAAACCAUCUCAGAACCGGAAUGUUUAACAAGCCUCCAACAUGACUUAGAACCUAGCGAUAGCCAAAAGAAAUAGGAAAUGCCACAUUUAAUUAUAACUUUUAGUC